UGAGGGAAUAUUGGGUCAAUGGACGAGAGUCUGAACCAGCCAAGUAGCGUGAAGGAUGAAGGUCCUACGGAUUGUAAACUUCUUUUAUAAGGGAAUAAACCCUCCCACGUGUGGGAGCUUGUAUGUACCUUAUGAAUAAGCAUCGGCUAACUCCGUGCCAGCAGCCGCGGUAAUACGGAGGAUGCGAGCGUUAUCCGGAUUUAUUGGGUUUAAAGGGAGCGCAGACGGGUCGUUAAGUCAGCUGUGAAAGUUUGGGGCUCAACCUUAAAAUUGCAGUUGAUACUGGCGUCCUUGAGUGCGGUUGAGGUGUGCGGAAUUCGUGGUGUAGCGGUGAAAUGCUUAGAUAUCACGAAGAACUCCGAUUGCGAAGGCAGCACACUAAUCCGUAACUGACGUUCAUGCUCGAAAGUGUGGGUAUCAAACAGGAUUAGAUACCCUGGUAGU
rnacentral:rRNA from 1 species